CCCCAGCAGCACAAAGCAGCUACCCGGAGGCCCGCAAGAGGCAACGCACCAUCCCAGCCGUGACUGUCUAGACCCUCAACCAGGACAAGACAGGGAUCUCAGGGAGAACCAGUGGAUGCCACGCCACCCAGGCAAUGCUAGAGGGAGGACCGCAGUGAAGACCGCAAGAGAGGAAGCCAGCUCAGCCUCUGGAGGAAACACGCAGGUGCCGUUCUCCAUGCAGAUGUUGCUGUUCUGAGUGAAUCCUCACGCUGAAAGCUGGAUAUCUCAAAGAAUGUAUGCAUGGUGACAGCAAAUGGGAGCCAGAUGAUUUCUUUUCAUUGCUAAAUGACUUUCCUAAAUACCAGAGUUCAGGUCCACUAAGAGACUGGAAGAGGACAAGAGGAAUCCUCAUUUCCAGAGCCAGUAGAGCAGAGUCUGUCCAACAUUUUUGCCCUAGUGUUGGAAAUCAUACUUCCUGUGAACUCAAAAAGUUUUCUUCCAAGAGAAGAGGUGGUAACCUAGGCUCAUACACACAAUCUUCCACUAGAGCCGGGAGGACUGUGCACUGCAGAUGUCAUAUGUGGCUUAUUUCAAGAUAUGUAUGAAGGAAGAAUUAUAACUCGUGGACUACAAGGAGAAGCAAGGAAGAGAUUGAUGAAGAAUGGAGUAUAUCGUGAUCUUGAAUUUCAGUGCUUGUAUUUGAGUCUGGGUCUGCUAGAACUUCUGCUCUAUGAUGUACUAUUGAAGUCGAGAUUCACAUGUGGCAACUGAUGAUUACAUGGCAUUUUUAAGGAGAAUGUAUAAAUUAGGUUCAUAAAAGAAAAUUUAUCUUAUAACAGAAAUCUUAAAAGAUAAUGUUAUUUCUGAAUGUUAUUGGAAUUAUUCUUAGUAGAUGAAAGAUAUAAAAUGUUGUAAAAAUAAUAUUUCUAAUAAUAUGUUGCAAUGAAAAGUUUUAUACUAUUUUGAACUGCUUCAAAACAAAUCUUCAGGUAGAUGUUCUAUGCAAAAAUGAUUACUUGUUCUGUCAAAAUGCCCAUUGUUUAAGUCGAACCUGAACCACAAAGUUGACAUUAAUGCUUUAGUGGAAUUAAAUAUCAAUUCUGUGAUAACAAAGAUGUAUUUUCCUUUUUGUUUCAUUUGAUAUAUAUUAAAAAUUAGUUAUGUAUUCACUUAGUGAAGAAUUCAUCUACUUAGAGCUAGGAUGGCACUCUGCUCUGUGCAUUUUCCUGCUUCAGUCUGCUGAGUAGCAGGGAUUCAAGGUGUGAACUACAACACCAGGCUAAACUUCAAGUUUUGAACUAAUAUUUGGGGGUUUUAAAAAUUAUCUUCAAGUUUAGGAGAUGCAGAUACUAUCUUGAUCAUCAUAGAAGACAUGUUAAGUUGAAUCACCUCUUCAAAAUUCUGUCCCCAC